rnacentral:rRNA from 1 species
UACGAAGGGGGCUAGCGUUGUUCGGAAUUACUGGGCGUAAAGCGCACGUAGGCGGGUCGUUACGUCUGGGGUGAAAUCCCUGGGCUCAACCCAGGAACUGCGUCCGAUACUGGCAGGCUUGAAUCCGGGAGAGGGAUGUGGAAUUCCAGGUGUAGCGGUGAAAUGCGUAGAUAUCUGGAGGAACACCGGUGGCGAAGGCGGCAUCCUGGACCGGUAUUGACGCUGAUGCGCGAAAGCCAGGGGAGCAAACGGG